UACAGAGGGUGCGAGCGUUAAUCGGAAUUACUGGGCGUAAAGCACACGUAGGCGGCUUGGUAUGUCGGGUGUGAAAUCCCCGGGCUCAACCUGGGAACUGCAUCCGAAACUGCCUUGCUAGAGUAUGGGAGAGGGAAGUGGAAUUUCCGGUGUAGCGGUGAAAUGCGUAGAUAUCGGGAGGAACAUCAGUGGCGAAGGCGACUUCCUGGACCAAGACUGACGCUCAGGUGCGAAAGCGUGGGGAGCAAACAGG
rnacentral:rRNA from 1 species